rnacentral:rRNA from 1 species
CCCUUAGAUGUUCUGGGCUGCACGCGCGCUACACUGAAGCUAUCAACACGUUUUCCCUCCCUGAGAAGGGCGGGUAACCUUUUGAAUCAGCUUCGUGGUAGGGAUCGGGGCUUGCAAUCGUUCCCCGUGAACCAGGAAUUCCUAGUAGACGCGAGUCAUAAGCUCGCAUCGAUUAAGUCCCUGCCCUUUGUACACACCGCCCGUCGCUACUACCGAUUGAACGUUUUAGUGAGGCAUUUGGACCGACGCAUCUCAGUUUAACCGCUGGUUUGUGUUGGAAAGACUUCCAAACUUGAGCGUUUAGAGGAAGUAAAAGUCGUAACA